CGGCGAGUGAAGCGGCAACAGCUCAAAUUUGAAAUCUGGCCCCCAGGGCCCGAGUUGUAAUUUGCAGAGGAUGCUUUUGGCGCGGUGCCUUCCGAGUUCCCUGGAACGGGACGCCAUAGAGGGUGAGAGCCCCGUCUGGUCGGACGCCUAGCCUGUGUAAAGCUCCUUCGACGAGUCGAGUAGUUUGGGAAUGCUGCUCUAAAUGGGAGGUAUAUGUCUUCUAAAGCUAAAUACCGGCCAGAGACCGAUAGCGCACAAGUAGAGUGAUCGAAAGAUGAAAAGCACUUUGAAAAGAGGGUUAAAUAGUACGUGAAAUUGUUGAAAGGGAAGCGCUUGUGACCAGACUUGGGCCCGGUGGAUCAUCCAGCGUUCUCGCUGGUGCACUCCGCCGGGUUCAGGCCAGCAUCAGUUCGCCGCGGGGGAAAAAGGCUUCGGGAACGUGGCUCCUACGGGAGUGUUAUAGCCCGUUGCAUAAUACCCUGGGGCGGACUGAGGUUCGCGCUCCGCUAGGAUGCUGGCGUAAUGGUCAUCAGCGACCCGUCUUGAAACACGGACCAAGGAGUCGUCUUCGUAUG
rnacentral:rRNA from 1 species